rnacentral:rRNA from 1 species
CCUACGGGUGGCAGCAGUGAGGAAUAUUGGUCAAUGGACGAGAGUCUGAACCAGCCAAGUCGCGUGAAGGAUGACUGCCCUAUGGGUUGUAAACUUCUUUUAUAUGGGAAUAAAAUCUUCUACGUGUGGCAUUUUGUAUGUACCAUAUGAAUAAGGAUCCGCUCACUCCGUGCCAGCAGCCGCGGUAAUACGGCGGAUGCGCGCGUUAUCCGGAUUUAUUGGGUUUAAAGGGUGCGUAGGUGGGAUGUUAAAUCAGUUGUGAAAGUUUGCGGCUCAACCGUCAAAUUGCCGUUGAAACUGGCCGUCGUGAGUGGAGGAGAGGUAGGCGGAAUUCGUGGUGUAGCGGUGAAAUGCUUAGAUAGCACGAAGAACUCCGAUUGCGAAGGCAGCUUACCGGGCUGCAACUGACACUGAGGCACGAAAGUGUGGGUAUCAAACAGGAUUAGAUACCCGAGUAGUC